rnacentral:ncRNA from 1 species
UUCGUUUCAUGGCAAACCUGCCGAAAGGCAGGGACGCAAAGCUUAGGGUCUACGGUCCUGCAGGGACUAUGACAGCCUGGCCGCCGAA